UUGACAAGCAUAUUUAUCAAUUUAGAAAAUUCCAUAUGAUGUUCAGCAUCGAUUGAUUGACCGGAAAGAGUUACGAGAUGGUUCUCUUAUGAUUGAACAAUACUUCAUCACUAGCAAAUUAAGUCAAUGCAAGAUUCUUGUGGGGAAGAAUGGCUCAAAAAUUGGAUAACUUGAGAAUAGGAAUUGAAGCCAAUGAAGAGCUAAGGUCCAUUUUCAAAAAGCAAGUGCAUCUAAUUCUCCGAGUCAGGCAUAAAAAAUGAAUCAGGCAAAUAGAUUUGAUGUUGAAGUAUACCUUCUUUGCCACACCAUGUUAUGCUGUAUGUGAAAUGCCAAAGCUGUGGCGUGUAUUACCCUUACACUUGAAGUCUGCAAAGUAACAAAACCAUGCUAGAUGUCAUGGUGAUCAUGGAGAAAAUCAUGGGUACAGUGACACAGGUUGAGUUCAUUGGUAAUCACACAAACAAACUUUUGUGCCAUUUACCAUUUGGUAUCCCUUGUUUAAAGAGUUGGACUCGUGAAGUUUAUUGUGUGCAUGAACUUCAGAAGGAAAUUUCCAUAUUUUGUUUUUGUUUACUCAAAUAUAAUUUGUUUUUUUACAUGUUUUUAUCAAAAUGGAUAAUUAGCACAUGUGGUCUUUAGUUGUAUGAUUCUUACUUUGGGUGCUCUUAAAAUUACCCAUGGCCCCUCCCCACAUGGUGAGAUAAGAGACUUUGUUAUUGUAUAAUCUUAUGUACAGCAAUUUUGAUGAUCAAA